GCCGGCGGCGUGCCUAAUACAUGCAAGUCGAGCGGACCGACGGGAGCUUGCUCCCCUUAGGUCAGCGGCGGACGGGUGAGUAACACGUGGGUAACCUGCCUGUAAGACUGGGAUAACUCCGGGAAACCGGGGCUAAUACCGGAUGCUUGAUUGAACCGCAUGGUUCAAUCAUAAAAGGUGGCUUUUAGCUACCACUUACAGAUGGACCCGCGGCGCAUUAGCUAGUUGGUGAGGUAACGGCUCACCAAGGCGACGAUGCGUAGCCGACCUGAGAGGGUGAUCGGCCACACUGGGACUGAGACACGGCCCAGACUCCUACGGGAGGCAGCAGUAGGGAAUCUUCCGCAAUGGACGAAAGUCUGACGGAGCAACGCCGCGUGAGUGAUGAAGGUUUUCGGAUCGUAAAACUCUGUUGUUAGGGAAGAACAAGUACCGUUCGAAUAGGGCGGCACCUUGACGGUACCUAACCAGAAAGCCACGGCUAACUACGUGCCAGCAGCCGCGGUAAUACGUAGGUGGCAAGCGUUGUCCGGAAUUAUUGGGCGUAAAGCGCGCGCAGGCGGUUUCUUAAGUCUGAUGUGAAAGCCCCCGGCUCAACCGGGGAGGGUCAUUGGAAACUGGGGAACUUGAGUGCAGAAGAGGAGAGUGGAAUUCCACGUGUAGCGGUGAAAUGCGUAGAGAUGUGGAGGAACACCAGUGGCGAAGGCGACUCUCUGGUCUGUAACUGACG
rnacentral:rRNA from 1 species